GGACUUCAGAAAAGCAUCGUCAGGUCUCUGAGGCCCCAUCCACUGUGGUGUCCCCAGGUGGACGUCCCUUGCCCGAGGACCACAGCCCCACUCUGCCAGGUUCUUGCAAUGAGCCCCUCGGCCUGGAAGAUGGACGUGUCCCCUACCAGCAGUUGACAGCCUCCUCCCACCAGGAGGGACG